rnacentral:rRNA from 1 species
ACGUUGCUCGGAAUUACUGGGCGUAAAGCGCGUGUAGGCGGUGCCGCACGUCCGAUGUGAAAGCCCGGGGCUCAACCCCGGAAGUGCAUUGGAUACGACGGCGCUGGAGUCCUGAAGAGGAGAGCGGAAUUCCCGGUGUAGAGGUGAAAUUCGUAGAUAUCGGGAGGAACACCAGUGGCGAAGGCGGCUCUCUGGACAGGUACUGACGCUGAGACGCGAAAGCGUG